rnacentral:rRNA from 1 species
UACAGAGGGGGCAAGCGUUGUUCGGAAUUACUGGGCGUAAAGGGCGCGUAGGCGGCCUUCUAAGUCGAACGUGAAAUCCCCGGGCUCAACCCGGGAACUGCGUCCGAUACUGGAAGGCUUGAAUCCGGGAGAGGGAUGCGGAAUUCCAGGUGUAGCGGUGAAAUGCGUAGAUAUCGAGAGGAACACCUGCGGCGAAGGCGGGUAGCUGGGCCGACACUGACGCUGAUACGCGAAAGCGUGGGGAGCGAACAGG